UACGUAGGGGGCAAGCGUUGUCCGGAUUUAUUGGGCGUAAAGAGCGUGUAGGCGGCUAGGUAGGUCCGUUGUGAAAACUCGAGGCUCAACCUCGAGACGUCGAUGGAAACCAUCUAGCUAGAGUCCGGAAGAGGAGAGUGGAAUUCCUGGUGUAGCGGUGAAAUGCGCAGAUAUCGGGGAAGAACACCCGUGGCGAAGGCGGCUCUCUGGGGACGGUACUGACGCUGAGACGCGAAAGCGUGGGGAGCGAACAGG
rnacentral:rRNA from 1 species